GGACGGUUAGCUCAACUGGUUAGAGCGUACGGUUCACAUCCGUAAGGUCACAAGUUCAAAUCUUGUACCGUCCA
rnacentral:tRNA from 1 species